rnacentral:rRNA from 1 species
GACGUAGGGCGCGAGCGUUGUCCGGAUUUAUUGGGCGUAAAGAGCUCGUAGGCGGUUUGUCGCGUCUGCCGUGAAAGUCCGGGGCUCAACUCCGGAUCUGCGGUGGGUACGGGCAGACUAGAGUGAUGUAGGGGAGACUGGAAUUCCUGGUGUAGCGGUGAAAUGCGCAGAUAUCAGGAGGAACACCGAUGGCGAAGGCAGAUCUCUGGGCCGUAACUGACGCUGAGGAGCGAAAGCGUGGGGAGCGAACAGG